UUAAAUAAUUAUGGAAUAUACGAUUUCUUACUAUUCCACGUACAGAAAAAAAAUAAUAAUAAUAAAAGCGCGCGUAUUCACAGCGUGCGCGUGGUAUUUAAAUGAGACAACUCCAAUUUACAUAAAAAACAAUGAAAAUGCUCCAAACGCUGCUCUAAUCAUCCCCUAAAAUCAGUAUAAAUAAAAGGGAUAAAUGUAAAGUAAACCACAGUGAAAAAGAGACUGUUACAGAUGGCAGAAGAAUUUUUCAACGUUAUGGAUAACAAGAGUGAAAACACAAUGACAUCUUCACCUGGAAGAGAUUUUCGGGACUUCGAAAAGGAAUGGAUGGAGCUGGGUGACAGCUUUUCUGUGAUCUUCAAUCCAGGAAAUUCUCCCAAGGACGUAAAAGAGCCAAAUCCCUCACCCUCCAGAAAGAGGAAAAUUGAGGAGGCCGAGGAUUCCUUGAUUCUGCACAGGAGAACAAUUGAAAAGAAGUCAGAAAGAGUCAAAUUCACGCAAGAAACAACGGAGGAAGCCCCAGUUUUGAAGAAAUUUAGAGAGGAAAACCCAGAGAGGUACAGGAAGCUGGAGCGGCGGAUGUGCACCAGGCUACCCAACCAAUCCAGCCCCGCUCCACCGCAAUACGUCCCAGCUUCACCACAAUACGUCCCUGUUUCACCGGAAUACAGCCCGGCUUCACCACAAUACGUCCCCGUUUCACCGGAAUACAGCUGCCCCGCUCCACCUCAAUGCGUCCCCGCUUCACCACAAUACGUCCCCGUUUCACCGGAAUACAGCCCGGCUUCACCGAAAAACGUCCCCGUUUCAAGUGAUUACAGCCCCGCUUCACCGGGUCCUGAGCUACCGGAAUAUUGCCUAGCAUCAAAUUCCGCGCUACAACCGGUGACAAGAGAAAACCCAUCAGAAUCUAUGAUGCACCGGGAGUUUCAUGCACCAACCCAGCCCAUCUCUCUAUCGACACCUGGAGAGACCCAGGCAUCAACAUCUGGACUCUCACCUAUGAUACCACCUGGGUUUUGGAGGGAAACUUGUCAAUAUCCUCUUAAAGAGGAGUUAAAUGUUCUUAAUGAGCUUGUUGACAGCGUCCGCAUGGACUUACUCCAAACAUCAAUGUUGGUAAAUUAUAUUGAAGACUUUAUGAAAAAGUUUCAUCAAAAGCUUUAAAAGCAAACUGUUUGCAAUAUAAACAUUUGUUUUGGAUAAAUGUCAUUGUAUAUGCAUAUUGUAUAUGCAUAUUGUAUAUAUAUAUAUAUAUAUA
rnacentral:sRNA from 1 species